GUGUGCUAGGUGGGGAGUUAGCGGUGCCUUGUAACCCGCAAUCCGCUAUAGCGGGACUGAAUUCCUGCAGGAGAAUGUUGAUUUCCAUUUUAAGCGUAAUAAGCGGUGUUGAGAGUCAAGCCCGACGCAAUUGUAAACUGUGAACUUUGUCAGGUCCGGAAGGAAGCAGCAAUAAGCAGAUCUUGCGAUGUGCCGUCGGCCUACUUGAUUUGAGCUGGCUGUUAUAUCUUUCUAUGGAAUAGAUAUCGAAUGCAGGUGCACAC
rnacentral:SRP_RNA from 1 species